AACGAACGCUGGCGGCAUGCCUAACACAUGCAAGUCGAACGCGUGUAGCGAUACACGAGUGGCGGACGGGUGAGUAACGCGUGGGAACCUGCCCAAUGGUAGGGAAUAACUGCGGGAAACUGCAGCUAAUACCCUAUGCUCCCUACGGGGGAAAGAUUCAUCGCCAUUGGAGGGGCCCGCGUCGGAUUAGCUAGUUGGCGGGGUAAUGGCCCACCAAGGCUACGAUCCGUAGCUGGCUGAGAGGAUGAUCAGCCACACUGGGACUGAGAUACGGCCCAGACUCCUACGGGAGGCAGCAGUGGGGAAUAUUGGACAAUGGGGAAACCCUGAUCCAGCAAUGCCGCGUGAGUGAAGAAGGCC
rnacentral:rRNA from 1 species